UAUCUCUAGACUAUACAUAGAAUAAAUCUCAAUUCUAGAUCUAGAUAAUAAUAUACCUAGAUGAUCAGCUUCAUCAUAGUUAGGCUUUGGCUUUAGCCUAGCCUACUUUAACUUUAGGGCUAGGGGCUUUACUCCUUUAGCGUGAAAGUUUGUUCAUGGCUAAUCUUUAAAAUUAAUCUGACUUCCUGACUUGUUAAAUUCGUCUUAAGUCUUAGCCUUAGCUUCUUCAUUUGUGUAUCACGAAUGGAAGUGCUUGGCUCUAAGAUCAUUUUUUUAAAGAUCUACUUUAUCUUUACUAACUCUACUUUAUAUCUAUAUUUUAUAUAAUAAUAAUAGACCUAGAGUCAAGUCCUAGACUCUUAUAACUUAGACUAAAUUAGACUAUCUAUAUCUAUGAUCUACAUCUAGAAUCUGUAUCUACUAUCUAGGUCUAUUCUUACACUGAUUAUACAUAUACAGAUUUAAUGUUUCUGGUGAGCAAUACUAUUGUACAGCCAUUACCAAUUAGCCUACUCGUACUAGAUCUGGCUCUAUUGAUCACUACUCAUAUCUUGCCUAGAUAUAAAAAACUACUAGUUUGGACUAGACAUUCUAAUUGGUUCUAUUUUCUUUUUUUGAUUGUUCUCACAAUUCCAGUAGGCUGAGUAGGUACCAAAUAGUGCUAUUAUUCACUGUAGAUCUAGAUCUUAACUUUUAAGUACCAAAGAAGUACACUAAGGGUGUUGAAUGGUACUCAAAGUGCUCUAAUUGCUACUGUUCAAUGUGUUCAAUGUGUGGAUUCAAGUAUUUACCCAGAUACUGUCACAAUAUGUUCAUUGUUUUCAAAAGAGUUUGCACCCAGUGCCAGAAGCUGUAUAAAUACAUUUAACAAUGUAUAUUUCAAGAAGAAAUUAAUCUUUCUUAUCCCUAAGAGUUUAUCAAUAGGAUGGAUGCCACAAAACUUACUUGCUUUGUCAGAAACUCUUCCUACGAAACUUCCAACCUAGAGUUUGUCCAAUGCCUGUGAUCCUCUGAGUUGAAGGAGAAUGUGCUCCAUAAUACCUACUAGUACCUUGCUGAUAGCUGGAAGUUCAUGAAUAUUAUGUUGUCCUUGAUUUGAUGAUUUUGAAAACUACCAUUUCUGAUGACUUGAGCAUUAUUUCUAUAAUUCGAAAAAAAAACUCUUCAGAAAAUAUUGUCUUUAUAAUAUUAAGAAAUUGAAGAUAAUAUUGUUCUCUUUAAUAUUAAUAUUUUAGCAAAGUUAUUUGAAAA